rnacentral:rRNA from 1 species
UACGUAGGGUGCGAGCGUUAAUCGGAAUUACUGGGCGUAAAGAGCGUGUAGGCGGCCGCACAGGUCCGUUGUGAAAACUGGAGGCUUAACCUCCAGACGUCGAUGGAAACCGUGCGGCUAGAGUCCGGAAGAGGAGAAUGGAAUUCCUGGUGUAGCGGUGAAAUGCGCAGAUAUCAGGAAGAACACCCGUGGCUAAGGCGGUUCUCUAGUACGGUACUGACGCUGAGACGCGAAAGCGUGGGGAGCGAACAGGAUUAGAUACCCUGGUAGUCCACGCCGUAAACGAUGGGUGCUAGGUGUGGGGGGUGUCGACUCCCUCCGUGCCGAAGCUAACGCAUUAAGCACCCCGCCUGGGGAGUACGGCCGCAAGGCUAAA